rnacentral:rRNA from 1 species
GACGAACGCUGGCGGCGUGCUUAACACAUGCAAGUCGAACGGACAGGCCCUGCUUUUGUGGGGUGCUCGAGUGGCGAACGGGUGAGUAACACGUGAGUAACCUGCCCUUGACUUUGGGAUAACUUCAGGAAACUGGGGCUAAUACCGGAUAGGAGCUCCUGCUGCAUGGUGGGGGUUGGAAAGUUUCGGCGGUUGGGGAUGGACUCGCGGCUUAUCAGCUUGUUGGUGGGGUAGUGGCUUACCAAGGCUUUGACGGCUAGCCGGCCUGAGAGGGGGGCCGGCCACAUUGGUACUGAGAUACGGCGCAGACUCCUACGGGAGGCAGCAGUCGGGAGUAUGGCACAAUGGGCGGAAGCCUGAUGCAGCAACGCCGCGUGCGGGAUGACGGCCUUCUGGGUGUAAACCGCUUUCGCCGGUGACGAAGCGUGAGUGACGGUAAUGGGUAAAGAAGCACCGGCUAACUACGUG